UCUAAUGUGGCAGAUAAAGUGUAAUGAAUUUAAAAUUCAUUAAUAAAUUUUUAAUUUCUUUAGAA
rnacentral:tRNA from 1 species